AUAAUAUUUUAAAAUUUUAUAAAUAUUGAUUCAAAUACAUCUACCAUAUAACCCAAUUCCAAAAUAAAAUCCGUUCUGUAAUUUCUUUACCCGUCUCGUGAUUUUUUUUAUAGUAGUAAUUUUUAAAAUUUAAGAAUUAUUUAUUAUAUAUAAAAUUUUUGCAACUUGUAUCAUUCUCUAAUAGAUUUAUAUUUUAUAGUUUAAUUUUAUAUAUAGUAACAUUAUAUAUACCACAUAACAUUUUUGGUUUUAUAUAAUCUUUUCUAAAUUAGGAUGAUUUGAUAUGUUAAUAAAUUAAAGAUUUAACCCGUAUUGAAACGGUGGAUUAAUUAUAUUUUACUGUCCCUCCAAAUUCGUCUUGCCAAAAAGCCAUUUAUUUUAUUAAUAUUAAUUUUAUUUAUGAUAUGACUUUGAUUUAUAAUCUAAACAUUUUAGCUAAUAACAUAGGAGUGCACCAUAUUUAUUUAAUAGGGGAAUGUACCAUAUGAUCCGAAUGCACUUUCACCCAAAUCCACCAAAAAAGUCUUGCAAAAAUACUAUAGAGAUAAGAAACGAUAGUCGGUUUUGAUAGGUAUAAGAUUAGCAAAUAUAUUAGUUAGCUUAAA
rnacentral:sRNA from 1 species